rnacentral:rRNA from 1 species
UACGUAGGGUGCAAGCGUUGUCCGGAAUUAUUGGGCGUAAAGAGCUCGUAGGCGGUCUGUCGCGUCGGCUGUGAAAACCCGCGGCUUAACUGCGGGCUUGCAGUUGAUACGGGCAGGCUAGAGUUCGGUAGGGGAGACUGGAAUUCCUGGUGUAGCGGUGAAAUGCGCAGAUAUCAGGAGGAACACCGGUGGCGAAGGCGGGUCUCUGGGCAGUAACUGACGCUGAGGAGCGAAAGCGUGGGGAGCGAACAGG